GGGGCACAAAAGCCGUUGGGCUGUUGUGAGAAGUGAAUGAGACAUCUUGUGUAAAGGCCUUUAGCAUGGUACUUACCAUUCAUCAUCAGAGGAGUUCAAAUUGUUUUUAUCUAUUAGUUUGGAAGUUUUAGACCUUGCAAGAGGCAGUGAAGACCUGCGAUGUGCCACCGGCAAGCUGCAGACCCAGGAGAGCUGGUGGUGGGACGCAGCCCUGAGUCCAAAGGUCUGAGAACCAGGGGAGCCAAUGGUGUAAGUUCCAAUCCAGGGGCGAGGGAGGAUGAGAUGAGACACCCCAGCUCAACCAGCGAGGCGAAUCCGCCCUUCCUCUACACUGUUGUUCUCUUCAGGCCCUCAGUGGAUUGGAUGAUGCCCAUUCACAUCUAGAGGACAGUUCACUGAAUCCCAGAGAUUAUGUUUAGCCUGGGCACCCAUGGCUUGUCAAGUUAUGCAUAAAAUUAACCUCACAUUUUUUUUUGCUAAUUGUUUUAGGGAAAAGAUGAGU